UCUCAGGUGGUGGAAUGGUGGUUAGCACUUUUACCUCACAGCAAGAAGGUUCUGGGUUCGAACCCGGCCUGGGGC